rnacentral:rRNA from 1 species
UACGUAGGGGGCAAGCGUUGUCCGGAUUUACUGGGCGUAAAGGGCUCGUAGGUGGCCAACUAAGUCAGACGUGAAAUCCCCCGGCUUAACCGGGGAACUGCGUCUGAUACUGGAUGGCUUGAGUUCGGGAGAGGGAUGCGGAAUUCCAGGUGUAGCGGUGAAAUGCGUAGAUAUCUGGAGGAACACCGGUGGCGAAGGCGGCAUCCUGGACCGAUACUGACGCUGAGGAGCGAAAGCCAGGGGAGCAAACGGG